rnacentral:rRNA from 1 species
CACGUAGGGGGCGAGCGUUGUCCGGAUUUAUUGGGCGUAAAGAGCUCGUAGGCGGCUCAGUAAGUCGGGUGUGAAAACUCCAGGCUCAACCUGGAGACGCCACCCGAUACUGCUGUGGCUAGAGUCCGGUAGGGGAGCAUGGAAUUCCUGGUGUAGCGGUGAAAUGCGCAGAUAUCAGGAGGAACACCAGUGGCGAAGGCGGGUCUCUGGGCCGAUACUGACGCUGAGGCAGCGAAAGCGUGGGGAGCAAACGGG